rnacentral:rRNA from 1 species
CACGGGGGGAGCAAGCGUUGUUCGGAAUCACUGGGCGUAAAGGGCGUGUAGGCGGUCAGGUAAGUGAGACGUGAAAUCCCUCGGCUCAACCGAGGAACUGCACUCGAUACUGGUCGGCUAGAGUCCGGGAGGGGAUGGUGGAAUUCCCAGUGUAGCGGUGAAAUGCGUAGAUAUUGGGAAGAACACCGGUGGCGAAGGCGGCCAUCUGGACCGGAACUGACGCUGAGGCGCGAAAGCCAGGGGAGCGAAUGGG